rnacentral:rRNA from 1 species
UGGGGAAUAUUGGACAAUGGGGGGUACCCUGAUCCAGCCAUGCCGCGUGUGUGAAGAAGGUCUUAUGGCUGUAAAGCACCUUAAGCGAGGAGGAGGGUACUGGUAUUAAUACUACCAGCUACUGGACGUUACUCGCAGAAUAAGCACCGGCUAACUCUGUGCCAGCAGCCGCGGUAAUACAGAGGGUGCAAGCGUUAAUCGGAAUUACUGGGCGUAAAGCGCGCGUAGGUGGUUCGUUAAGUUGAAUGUGAAAGCCCCGGGCUCAACCUGGGAACUGCAUCCAAAACUGGCGGGCUAGAGUAGGGCAGAGGGUGGUGGAAUUUCCUGUGUAGCGGUGAAAUGCGUAGAUAUAGGAAGGAACACCAGUGGCGAAGGCGACCACCUGGGCUCAUACUGACACUGAGGUGCGAAAGCGUGGGAGCAAACAGG